rnacentral:lncRNA from 1 species
AGUAGAAGGAUAACAUGACAUAGCAGGAAUAAUACUGCCUUUUCUUUCUGGCAUGGAUCAAGAGAAAAGAAAAUACAAGAAAACAGACAGAAGCAAGGCAAGGUACUUCUAUGGAAGGGUGAGCCCUCACAGAUGGAGCAAUGGGGCGCGCACACCUGAACAAGGGAGGGGAAGGAGUUCUUAUCCCUGAUGCAUGUGACCCCUGCUGCUGUGUCCUUCCCCUAUUGGCUAAGGCUUCUGACAGCUUUGGAGAUUGUGACAUUGGAAUAAAGGAAAAACGUACAGGACUCAUGAAGCGCUGAAAUGUUCACAAAUAUCAAGCAAAAGUCAAUGAAAUUUAUUUUGAGCUAUUUACAUCAUUUAAUAAUUGAGCAAGGUAUACUCCUAUGAACAAAAUUUGGAGCAUGUUUGUCUCUCUCUGCCUGGCGUCUUCAGAAUUUGGAAACUAGUUGUCAGGAGUUAACUUUUAUGUGACAAGCUUUACUAGGUCAGGAGCCUAUCGCUGUUUAUAUUCUCUGCAAAGUUUUAAUUGUGAAAAAGGAUUUGAGAUGGUUUAUAAUCAGCUAUAGAAUUUUAACACGUGCUCUCAAAUGCAAGUUUCUGAUAACUUUGGAGAUUGUGACAUUGGAAUAAAGGAAGAGCUGGAAUGUUCAUGAAUAUCAAGCAAAAGUCAUGGAAAUUUAUUUUGAGCUAUUUACAGCAUUUAAUAAUUGAGCAAGGUAUACUCCUAUGAACAAAAUUUGGAGCAUGUUUGUCUCUCUCUGUCUGCCUGGCAUCUACAGAAUUUGGAAACUAGUUGUGCUGUACUGCAUGAGAAUGCCUGCAUUUAGUAUGCGAACUGGAAUUGGCAAAGGACGAUGGCUGCUCUCCCGCUAACUUUAAAUAAGUCAUGUCACAAAUUGCAUUCGUUCCCAGAUUUCCUAAACUUUCCAGAGAAAAUGGUCUUCUCCCUGGCUCAGCAAGAAGAUGAACUUUAAACACUGAGAAACUGGUCAUCUCCCUGGCUCAACCAGAAGAUGAACUUUAAACACUACUCUCAAUGACUUGAUGUUCCCAUCACUACUCCUGUCAUAAAGGGAGGGGACUCAGAUAUUGAGAAUUUUAUGAUAGUGUGAACUGUCUGGUAUGUCAUUUAAGUAAGCCCGUUGCUGAAAUAUUUUCCAUGUUAUUAGAAAGAGCUGAAGAGAGGGAUUGAGAUGGCUUCUUUAUUUUUUGUCUUUUGGGAAUUAAAGGAACCUGGUUCAACAAGGGCCUACACCUAAGUCUCUUGUUGUACCAGAGUACAAUUUAGGACUGCUCCUGAGGAAGGAAUUAGCUAGAAAUCUAGAGAGUAAGGGUAACAGAUUUACAUAGAAUAACAGCCUCAGUAUUUUUGGUUCCUCUCCAGUAAAGAUCACAAAGAAUAUUGCUAAAUCGCUAAAACACCUUUGCAAUAACGUAAGGGCUUACAACUAUAUACCAAUGUAGCUCAGUUACUAAACUGGAGUAAACUAAUUUCUCUUGUGUAGAAAAAUUGGUUGGCUGUGGUUUUAUAGCAGAUCUGCAAUUAUUAAUAGUUAUGCCAAUAAUCGUUUAACAGUGCAUAUGUUAAUAUAUAUGGAAAGACAAUGUGUAUAGACAGAUGUGUAAAAUUGAAAAAUAAACAUAUAACAAGAGAGAAACAUCUAUCGAACAGACAAUAUACAUACACAUCAAACACAACAGCAGUUUUAGUGACCAUAAUAUUUAUUUCUCAUUUUUACAUUGCUUACUUUAGUGACAACUGAAAAUGACAGUUGGCAAUGCAGCUAACAGUUUCAAUAAAAGUAUAAAACAAAAGACUGUGUACAAAGCACCUGUCUUUCCGCUUUUGUAAUCUUCCGUUGGAAAAAAUUUACACACCUAAGUAACCAUCUGUUUUCUUCAAGAAAAAAUCAUUCUUAUUUCUCUCUCUCAUCUUGAAAACAGCUGUCAGCCAGGAGGGCAGAGCUGAAAUUUAUUGCCACAUCACAUGAAGCAUAGAACAGACUCCACUACUCCUUGAGAUUCAAAACUUUGCCUCUCACAAAGUUACCUUUUAUUUUCCUCUUGUUUGUCACUCAUCUCCCCUAGUGUGCUCUUUUUAUUUCUUUUACUAUUAAUAAUAAAAUCUGUGGAUGACUGUAUUAUUGAA